GAUGAAGAACGUAGCGAAAUGCGAUAAGUAAUGUGAAUUGCAGAGUUCAGUGAAUCAUCGAAUCUUUGAACGCACAUUGCGCCCGUUAGUAUUCUGACGGGCAUGCCUGUCCGAGCGUCAUUUCAACCAUCAAGCCCCGUGCUUGUGUUGGGGAGCUGCGGGCCCUCCGGGGCGCGCAGGCCCUGAAAUGCAGUGGCGGGCUCGCUGACACACCGAGCGUAGUAGCAUAAUUCUCGCUCUGGGCGUGCUGCGGGUACCUGCCGUGAAACGACCACUCGAGAGAGAGGACACCCAAAGGUUGACCUCGGAUCAGGUAGGAAUACCCGCUGAACUUAAGCAUAUCAAUAAGCGGAGGA
rnacentral:misc_RNA from 1 species